rnacentral:rRNA from 1 species
ACAGAGGCCACGAGCGUUAGGCGGAAUCACUGGGCUUAAAGCGUGUGUAGGUGGAUGGGUAAGUACCUUGUGAAAUCCCACGGCUCAACCGUGGAACUGCUUGGUAUACUGCCUGUCUUGAGGCACUCAGGGGCAAGCGGAACAGAUGGUGGAGCGGUGAAAUGCGUAGAUAUCAUCUGGAACGCCAAUGGUGAAGACAGCUUGCUGGGGGUGUACUGACACUGAGACACGAAAGCCAGGGGAGCAAACGG